CAGCCGCCACGGUAAUACGAAGGGGGCUAGCGUUGCUCGGAAUGACUGGGCGUAAAGGGCGCGUAGGCGGAUGGCACAGUCAGAUGUGAAAUUCCCGGGCUUAACCUGGGGGCUGCAUUUGAUACGUGUUGUCUAGAGUGAGGAAGAGGGUUGUGGAAUUCCCAGUGUAGAAGUGAAAUUUGUAGAUAUUGGGAAGAACACCGGUGGCGAAGGCAAUCCCCUGGGCCUGCACUGACGCUCAUGCACGAAAGCGUGGGGAGCAAACAGGAUUAGAUACCCGGGUAGUCCCUGUCUCUUAUAC
rnacentral:rRNA from 1 species